AAAUAAAUAAAACAUUAAAAAAAUUUUUUAAAGUAAACACAGGAGUAAAUCAUCAUGACUUUGGAUUUGGCAACAGAUUCUUAGGUAUGAUACCAAAGAUACAAGGUAAAAAAGAAAAAAAUAGAUUAAUUGGGCUUCAUAACAAUAAAAAUCUUGUGGGCAUCAAAGGACAUUAUUAAGACAGUGAAAAGACAACUGGCAGAAUGGGAGGAAGUAUUCGCAAAUCAUGUAUCUGAUAAGGGUGUAGAAUCCAAAAUAUGUAAGAGAACUCCCACAACUCGACAACAAAAAGACAACCUAAUUUUAAAAUGGGUAGACUGGAAUACACACUUCUCCAGAGAUACGUAAACGGCUGAUGAAAAGCUGCUCCACAUCAUUAGCCACCAGGGCAAUGCAGAUCACAACCACAGGACACCACAGCCACUAGGAUGGCUGUUGUCAUCAAAAAGAUCUCCAAGAUGUGGAGAAAUCAGAAUCCUUGUGCAUGGCUCAUGGGAAUGUACAACAGUGCAGCUGCUGUGGAGGAUGGUUUGGGGGGGUUCCUCAAUAAGCUAAACAGAAUUAAUCAUACGAUCCAGUAAUUCUACUCCGAGGUAUACACCCCAAAGAUCUGGAGACAGAUACUCAAACAGAUACUUGUUCAAACUCCGUUCAUGACCACAUUAUUCACAACAGACAAAAGGUAGAAACAAUCCAAGUGUCCAUCACAGAUGAAUGGGUAAACAAAUGUGGCAUAUAUCUGUACCAUGAAAUAUUAUUCAUCCAUCAAAAGCAGUGAAGUUCUGACACCUGCUACAGUGUGGACGGACCUUGAAAACAUGAUGCUGGGUAAGCCAGACACAACAGGACAUGUACGUAUGAUUCCACUUAAAUGGAAUCGAGAGUGAAAAAGUUCAUAGAGACAAUAAGUGCUGUAGAAGUUACCAGGGAGAAUGGGGAGGGAUUGCUUCAUGGGUACAGAGUUUUUGUUUGGGUGAUUCGGAAACAGAUGGUGGUGAUAGUUGUACAAUACUGUGAAUGCAAUCAAUGCUGCUGAGUUGUACACUUAAAAAUGAUUAAAAGGGCAAAUUUUAUUAUAUUACCACAACUGAAAAAAAAAAAAAAAGAACAAAUUAGGUCAAGGUUUAGAGUUGUGGGAAAGGCAGCCCUGACUAUGUUCAGUCUUUAUAGAGAACCUGGGGCAACCCAGUGCUUAAUUCUACAAUAGCUGCCCACACCUCUGCCAGCCCCCAUCUUAAGCUCUCUGAGCGCCUGGAUCCUUUUCGCCACUCACAUCCGAACCCCAGGAUCCACUGUCUGAUGACAAGGAGAUGUCUGGACCCCUCUUCUGCCUCCCACCUGCCCAGCUGCUGCCCGCCUCCUUUUGUUCGAUGUCCAGCUCCAACUCCACAGUCCUGGUCUCUGUUGCUCUCCCCGGGCCAAGGACAGCACUGGACACAUUGCAGGGCCUGCACACCAGCCUGGCUGAUUCCUGACUUAAAACCCUGUGGCUUCUGGUCCUUUGGUCCCCUCUACCUGGGCCCGGCUGGCUCUGGACACACACUGCUCUGUGGCUGAGUCUCUGGCCUCAGCUGAGCUCCUGGCACUGCUCUCCAAGCAGGACCGGCAGCCUGUCCCAUCCCUCCGGGUGGCCAUUACCACACAGCCCACCCUCCUCAGACUCUGGCACUGCACCCCCUUCUCUCCUCAGAGACAGCCUGGCCUCAGACUCGACAAGGCCCAGGCAGAACUUCUGCAUAAGGAGCCCUCCUCCUGCUCAGCCAUGCCUCCUGUCUUUGCAGGACUUGCUCGUCCUCAGGCAGUGCCCCUGCUCACCUGUGUCCUCACCUUCUCCCUUCCAGUCUUGGCUGCCCCAUCCCUUCCUGUCUAUACCCCUCCCUAUAUCUCUUUCUCAGGACUGCCUACACCUAGCCUUCCCCUCUUUGCCAGGCUCCUGUGGGGUCUUCACCCCCCCAAACCCCCGCUUUGCUCCUUGGUCUGCCAGAGUCCGACUGAGGCUCCAACCCUCCCCUCUGGGAGUAGGAAGCACUUCAGUAUUGAAGUGGCAGAAAUGAGUCUGUCCUAACCUCACUUGACCAGACUGCGCACUAUUGACCAUCCCUGCCCUCAGGGAACUCUCCCUGCACCUUCCAGAACAUCGAUCCUUCUUGAUCUUGCCUCGGCCUCAGGUGGCUCCGGGCCCUUUGGACCUCCUGCCCUGUCCUCCCCAAGAUGACAGCCACCCUGUGGCUUCAGCUCUUAGCUAAAUCUGAUGGUUCCUGAAUCAGUGUUUCUGGCCCAGACCUCUCCAGGCUGGAUACAGCUCCAGGCUUGGACACCCAGCCACCUCCACUGGCUGUCCCAGAUACUGGAGCCCACUGCCCCUAAACGAUCUCAUCAUCCCCUGAGACUGCUUCUUGUAGUGAGGAGCUGGCUGUCCCAUUCUCCCUCCGUCAUCCAGUCUGCAGCCUGUGAGCCCCCUGCCUUCUCCCUUCCUCACACACAUCCACUGCCUUGCACACACUGGGAUAGAGUCCUCCCUCUGUCCCCAGCUCAGUGUUGACCUUUCUGCUCCUCUCUGUUCUCAGUGUUCCCACUUAAUCCAGGUCAUGCCUGCUCCUGCUGGGACAGCUGAUGGCUCCCCACUGAUGGCCCUGCCUCUAACCUGACUCUGGAUCCAUGCCCCUAUCCAUCCACUCAUUGGUUAGCAAACAAGGUUCCUGAGUACCUGCUAUGUGCCAGCCACAGGGCGGUCUUUUUAGGCUGUAGAUGAUCUCCCUGCUUACUGGCCUAUGAUGGCUUACUUCUGACAUCAGCAAUGGGUCCAGCUCCUUGGCCCUUCCAAUCAGGCAGCACCUGGCUCCCAGGACUCUAGUUGUCUCUAGUGCUUCUGCUUUUGUAGCUGCCCCUCCCCAACCCCACCCCAGAAGAGCCUAGACCCAGACGUGUGAGAGCUUGGCAGCCCGUGUGCUCCAGGGGUGAGCAAGGCUGUGGUUGCAGUGGGUGCUGGCCAGCUGCACCCAUGGCCCUCCCUCAUCCUCUUGCCACCUUUCUUCAUGGGGCCGGGCAUGGCCUGGCUCAGCAGCAGCAAUGCCCAAAUGGGCAAUGGCAGGCGGUCAGCAGAGGGCCGGCCAGAGGGGCCUGCCAGUGGGGUGCCUGCAGGGUGUGUGGCCUGGGGUGGGAGCAUCAGGACCGUGGGUGGCAUUGGGGGGGAUAGAAUGGUCUUCCAUCCUGAGCAGGGGCCUGGUGACUUGGCCUUCUUCUCUCCAUCCAUGUGAUGUGAGAAGGCACUCUGGGCCAUCUAUCCAAGGGACUCUGGAUGCAUUUAGGAGGGGCCCGAGCAGAGACUUCAUUACUCUGACUCGGGAAACUCCGAGCCACCUUAUGCAGACAGGCCUGCUCUCUUACCUGUGAGGCAUACGUGUCCAGUUUCUCAAACUCCUGCAGGUCCAGGGGCAUGGAUUUCAGGCUGGACCGAUCCCAGGGGUAAACUGGAAACAUAGGGAGGCUCAGUCAGCCACUGAGGCCUGCUGGUGAGUGCUGCCCGGCCCCAGGCCUCUCUGUCGUUUUGAAGUGCUGUGAUUGCCCGACCUUCAGCAUGAUUCCCAGAACCUGGAAAACUGCUCCCAAGACCUAUAUCUCCUAGAGGGGUUCCUUGGUCAAAUUGGUUGGUGAACUAUGGCAACUUCUCUAGUUCGUCUGGAGAGUGACGGGGAACAUAAGCCUAUUUGCAGACCCUGGGAAGUCAGCAGUAAAGAGACUGGUUUCACCUCAAUUAACUCAGCAGUGCCCAGGCAGAUUAAUGAUGGAGUCCCCUUCUCCCCACCGUUUAGUUUUCUGCAGAUUUCCUGCUAACUUUUCCAGGAAUGAGUGCUCUGUGGGAAGUGUCCAGGCAAUGCGGCCAGCCCCUGACAGGCUCAAGAAAGGAGGGUCUGUACUCUAGUUAUGACGCCCAGGGUGGAGGGUGCUCUGGGUAUGGGAGGAGGGUGUGCUGGAGCCAGGCUCUGUAGGCUUCUGUAGGGUGAGGCGUGUUUGGCACCCAGACAGGCUUCCUCCCUUGCCCACAGUCAGCCAUAGACUGGAGCACCCCAAGAAAGCCAAGUGUGUUGUAGCAACAGGUGCCCCAGGUAUUGCGGGGGGGGGGGCUCUGAGGGAGGCCGGGCCCCAGAAUCACUCCUUUGUGCCAGCCUUUCUUAUAGGAAGCCGGGCACACCAGUCGUCAGACCAGCCACGGAUGGGCAGCAAAUCCCUGUCUCAGACCAAAAGAGAGCCUGGGCUCCGGCAAGGUCCUCCCAUUAUUCAAGGCUGACCAAGUCAGGCAAGCUGGGUGGGAGGCCGGGGUUAGGUGAGGAGGGUGGGGCCAAAGGGCCACUGAUCCCCUAACUCAGUGAUAACCCCACUCCCCUGUGGGGGUGCUGGUGGGGCCCCAGGGCAUGGCAGCCAGCCUGGGAAGAGCAGAGUGACAUGGGGAAGCAGCUGGUGGGGGCUGCAUGAAGCCUAGGUUCUAGUGGGGGCCUGACCUUCACGACCUCCACUGUGCUAGGGGUUGCUGGACUCAGCCGCCAGGCAUGAGGUGCACAUCUAUGGGGCAGCUGGGAGAGUGAACGAGACGGUGGAUCACGCUGUAAGAUGAAGAAUUUGACUCCACAAGAGAGGUUAAGCUACUUGCCCAAGGUCGUAAUGUGUAACGCUGUGCGAAGUCCUGCAGAGAAGAAGUCAGUUUGACCCAGUACUAUUUUGUGAAACACAAUUUGGAAAACGCUGGACUGCAACAACCUCCAGAAGCUUAAAGAAGGUGCAGAACUGAACAACGUGGUUUAGUCAACAGCAAACCUCUUCCCCCAACUUCUCACAUCUAACAUACAGGUGCUUCCAACCACCCCCAAUUCAGCCCUGGCUCUUUGUCCAAGAAUGGGUGAGCUGAGAAACUAGGUACUGGUAAAGCGGUGGUAAAGGUGGACAUUGAGGUAUUCUCACACCCGGAUGUGGUCCUGUUCUGCAACCUCCACCUAGCACCAUUUCCAAUCCCUUCUCUCUUUCCUGAACUUCCUCUUUCCUCCCCCUUCUUGGACAGGGGCCCAAUUUCCAAUAUCCUCCUGAGCCCCACUUCCUGACUCUCCUCCAAAGAGGCGCUGCUAAUCAGCCCCCUGCUGAGGAAAACAGCACAGCUCCUUAGCCUUCCUGAUCUGUGGGAGUGUGAUACCCACUCUUGUCACACACAGGCGUGUGAGGGCAUUUUCGGAGGCCUCUCUGCCCCAGAAACUGGGCCUGGGUGUGCUGUCGCAGGUGAGCAGCAGUCACUGGAGAGCCCUGUGCUCCCUAAAGGGGUGAAAUGGUAAGAUUUUGCAGACUACUAUAUUCCUGUAUCACAUCAACUCUUAAUCUAAGAAGAAAAUUAAUUUGACCAAUUUCCAAUGAAUGAGAGUGGAACAUCAUUUGGAGCAAAAUUUAAAGUAAGAUCUAAAACCUAAGUAUAGUCAGAUACCAUUACACCAAUCUUAAUAGUCACGACCAAACCCACAGGAGGUCCUUCCCGGGACUUCAGGUCACCUGGCUGGCUCUCUCAUGGCGUCCCUCCCUGGUUCUACCAGUUGUCACCGAAAUACCACUUCUGAGGCUGCAGCCCUAGCUGUCUUAGUAGCAGCAUAUCAGCAGUUGCUUGAGAAGUGCCUCCCAGGCCCCUGCCCCAGGUGCCACCAGCUCCGUGUCCUUUCCUCUUAAGCCCUCAGAUCCGGAGAUGCAGCAGGAAGCCCCAGAACGUCCCUGCCCGUGGCCCUACUGCCUUGGGUCUGCCUUUUACCUGGUCGGGAGAGUUCUCCCUCCAGCGGCUUCUCCCCAGGUCUCUGCAGGUCUGAAUCAGGAUUUGUCUAAAGCCCUAAUUUGCUCAGAAUAUCUAAUGCAGAGAUGGCAAACAGAUUUCGUGUUGUUCAUUAACUCUGACUGGCUGCAAGUAGCUGCCUGGAGUGUUGAUCAAUUAGCAAAGACUGUCAGGCAUGUGUGUGUGUUAUGAAUGUGAGUGUGUGUGAGCAUGCACACGUGGGGGGGUGUCUGUGUGCCUAGGGCUGCAGGAUUCAGGUCAGAUACUUGCUAUCCUUGCCUUAAGGUGCUCACUAACGUUUUCUGUACCUGGAACCUGGGUUAAUAACCGUACCCAGGUUAGUAGCCGGGUUCCUUGCCUUGGAAUGCUCCUCUGCAGUAGUUGAGAGUCAGGAAGCCUCAGCUAAAGCAUCUGUAAUUUAAAAACGCCCUUAAAGAGCCCCAGGGUAGGUGUUCAGCAGGGCUGUGCGUGGUUUCAGCCCAGGGACUGGUAGUCCGCUUCAGUGCAGGAAGCCUAGUGCUCUGACAGCCCAAGAGCAGCAUGCUGGAUGAUGACAGGGACAGUCUAACUCUGCAGAACCCUUGUCAGUCUCCACUGGACGCAGCGUGAAAGGCCCACUCAGCAGCCCGAGUCACCAGGUGACAACCUGACAACCGAGCGGGCUGAGACGGCUGGGACACCAGCCAGGGGAUGAUGAAGGGUGUCUCUCGCAGCCCUGACCGACCCCGGCUUUCACCGGGCUCUUGAAAACAGAGGGCCAUUCAUGAUCCCUUCUGCAGCACGGAGCUCCACAGGAGCAUCCCAUAUCUGGAAACAUGGCCGUCUGACCCCAGUGCCUGCGUGACCAAAGAAGGAAUGGAGUGUCUGCUUGGGGACAAAUGACCAGCAAGAAAGGAAGCCUCAAAAGAAAACUGGCUCCUCAGGAAUCACUUUUGGGGCCCCAAGUCACAGGGGCUCCAGCAACCACCCUCCUGUCUCCUCCCUCGCACACCCAUUACAGAUUAAUCUUCUGAAGCACCCUUCCGCAUGGAGAUCCGAGACUCCGCUGAUCUGUUUGUCAGCUGUUGCAUAAAAUCUAUCAUACCUGGUGCUCCCUCUCCUGGAUGCUCUUUCCCAGAUGCCCACAUGGCUUGCUCCCUCACCUCCUCCCUUAUUCAAAUGUCACCUUCUCAACUACUCUGUUUUAAAUUGUACCCAUGUGGUAGGCUGCAUAGCGGCCCUUAAAGAUAUCCAUGCCUUAAUUCUAGGAACCUGUGAAUGCUCCCUUAUAUAGGAAAGGGGACUUUGCAGAUGUGAUUAAGUUAAGGAUCUUGAGAUAGGAAGAUCAUCCUGGAUUAUCUGGUGGGCCCUAAGUAAUCACAAGGAUUCUCAUAAAACAGUGUCAAGAGAUUAAACUACUAAUGUGGAGAAAAGGCCAUGUGACAAUGGGCACAGAGAAUGGAGUGGUGCAGGUGUACAAGAAGUGCCAGCAGCCUCUACAAACUGGAAGAGUCAAGGAACAGAUGGUCCCCUAGAGCAGGUGGGUGGCAUGUGAGUGGCCCAUGAGAGCCAGGAUGUGGUGUGCCAAGUGGGGCUCUGGUGUCUGGUGGGCCCCAUACCACUCCUAUCUGUCUGGGACACCAUGGGGACAGUGCAGUGUGGAGGUCUGGCAGGUGUGCCUGACUCGGGGACCAUAGUACCCCGUCUCAGUUUUCUUGUACACAAAUGGGGAUAACACCAUGGCCCUAUCAGGGGGCAUAGCCAGAACUAAGCAAGAUUGGCGGUGGCUAAUCCACUUUCCUUUUAGUGAGGCAUUGCUUAUUUUUGUUUUGUGGUGAGCUGUGUGCUGCUAGUUCGCUUCAGGGAAGC